CUAUGUCUUUCUCUCUGAAACUCAAAAGCUCACGCUCCCUCCCUCUGCCUUUCUUCUACAAUUCCAAAAUUAGAUCUUUUCUCUCGGUCCCUCCUCUAAAAUUAACCACUAGCUCCCCCUCAAAUUCUCACUCAGGCAGAAACUAAAUCCUGAUUCUCGUCUCUCAACACCAGUGGCCGUCACCACCACUUCUCACACUACCCGAGCUCGAUCGGUUCGGGCAGCUGCUGUCUGGCAUCGUCAGCCGCCCUCCUAGCGCCGUCCAGCCGCCGUCGCCGGCGCCUCCGUUAGGCAGCGCCGCUUCACACGACAGACAAGGGAUUUUAAAGAAUUUAAAUUGAAGAGAUCAAGAGAAAACAAGAGGGCAACUUCUGAUGAUAAUAAAGAUUAAGACUUUAUCAAGAAGAAUCAUUCCACAUUUUCAGAAAUUAAAAUGGUGGACUACCGUGAAUGUAUGGAAAUAUAUCAUAGAAUCGAAGAAAAGAAAAUACCUGUGGGAGAAAGGAAAGUUGCACAGGUUGCAGGUUUUGCAAAUCACAAUUUUCUCUAUUCUCUCUCACUGUGAUGUCGAGAAAUUUGGAUUAUGGAAUCAAUAAAUAUGGAGACUUUCAGUAUUCAUGGAAUGAGGAGAAUUUACCUUUUGAUGGAGAAGAAGAUGAAUAACGGCAUAUUGGAAGAAUGAUGAAGUCACGUUGUGGGGAAAUAUAUGAGAAGUAGAAGAGAUUUUUAGUUAGAGAUUUUCAAGGAACAUGGAGAUGCGGGAGAAAACCGUGAGAGAGUUGGGAGAAUGAAAUGGAAAAAUAGGAAUAAAUUUAUAGAAUAAAAGUAGCCCAAUUGCAAUAGGAUAAAUGGGCUAAAAUAAGAUUGAUAAAAGUGAUAGACCCAAAUAUUUGAUUUAAA